CUCCUCCUCCGGCUCCUCCUCCUCGCCGGCGAUGCUCGGCAGGGCCCCCGCCCCAGUCCCCUCCCGGCGGGCCCGUGCGGCCCCGGGGAAGGUGCUGGGGUCCUCUGGCAUCGCCCGGGGACGGCUCGGGUCGGGCGCCCGCGGCCUCGCGGCGUUGCGCGCUCUCCAACAGACUUCUGUCCGCCUCCCGGUUUCUGCUCCGGGUUUAUUCCCGGCAACAGCGGCCGCCUCGGGACACACAUUCACACUGCCACCCGCAAACCCAUUCUUGCGACUCCCGGGGACCUGAGGAAGCGGCGCGGAGAGGUGACCCUCGCCGCCCUGCCCCUGCUCUUCCUCCCCCAGCGGGGCGCGUGGUCGAGUUGCGAGGGGCUCUACUGCUGUCCGGGAAUGGGGGCACUUCGAAGUAGCUGUGACUCUGGGAAUCCAGGCGGAUAUUGGGACCAAUUCAAGAGGCUCUGAGAGUGGCAUCCUGGGGGACGCAAGCACCACGUAGGUUCUCAGCCAGCCCAGAGUCCCUCCUUAUGGCAUGUGCUUCUGGCUCCUGUUUCCUGGCUUUCCAAGAGCGCUGUCACUGGAUAGCCUGCUGGAGACUUUGGGGGAGAGCAAAGACGAGGAGCAUCAAGGAGACCACACUCUUUUUCUCUAAGCAGUCUCGGGAGAACAGAAUUCCAAGCGUUAAAGUGGAUGGUGUGGAUUUUAGAGGUGUAAACUGUGAGAGCAAGGCAGGGAGAAGACCUUCCUCAAGUGGAACCAGCAGCAUCAGCACCACCUGGGAACUGGUUAGAGGUGCCAGUUCUCAGGCCCCACCUUAGCCCUGCUGAACCAAACACUCCGGGAUGGGGGCCCAGCAACGUGUUCAUAAGCCCUUCCAGGUAAUUCCAAUGAUCAAGUCUGAGCUUGAGGACCUCUGGGCAGUGAAUGAGGACUUGAAAGAGCUGCUCUUAAAUCCUGGCUCUGCCACUUGAGAUGUAUGUGAGUUCUGUAACGGUGGGCCCUCCAGGACCAGUUCAACCAACCCCGGCUGAUCAACAGAGUAAUUAAGAGUUGUCUUUCAGGAACCGAGACCCCUUGUCCAGUUCAGGCCUGCUGAGAUCACCAACCCAUCAAGUGGGCCUGUGCAAGUGCUGGGUAAGUGAUCUUUUUGACGUCAAGAAGCUAAAAACUCUACCCUCAGAUCAUGGUAAGGCUGCCAUUUUGUGAACACAGGUCCUAUUAAGAGGGAUGAAGCUUGACUAGGCUUGUGCAGAUCAUCAAUUGCCUCACUUCUCUUUACUUCCAAUCAUCUGUCUCCACACAUCAGACUGCCCUGCCCUUCAUCCCGUAAAUUGUCCCCCAAGCCCUGGAUCUGGGAGACAGAUCUGAGGGCACAUGCCUGCUGUCUCCUUGCAGAUCAAUAUCAAAAAAUAAAGCUACAUUUCUUUUCCCA
rnacentral:lncRNA from 1 species